rnacentral:rRNA from 1 species
AUGAGUACCUGUAAAAAGGCCAGGGCGGAAGGUAUAUGUGUUGUGAGUUUAGAUAGACUGAGCAGCCUACCGCCAGAGAUAAAGGGCAACAUCCUCUCCCUUUUGAAUGUCGAAGAAGCAGUUAGGACUUGCACCUUAUCAAGUACUUGGAGGGAUGCAUGGGCUAAUAUGCCAAAAAUAUCUCUGCGUGAUGGAAAUUUUGCACGAACCAAGUUUGUUACGUUGGUCGAUAUGGUGCUAUCAGUCCACAAAGGAACUAUAGAAGGGUGUCAUAUUUCAGGUAGCAAAAAUUACCAUGAUGAGUUCGGUAGGUGGAUGCUCAUGCUGUCAAGAAGAUCACCAAGAUCAGUUAUAAUCAAGUUAUAA